rnacentral:rRNA from 1 species
AGGACGAACGCUGGCGGCGUGCUUAACACAUGCAAGUCGAACGAGAUCCAUUCAGUAGCAAUACUGAUGAAGAUCUAGUGGCGAACGGGUGCGUAACACGUGAGGAACAUGUCUUUCGGUGGGGGAUAGCCGGCCCAACGGCCGGGUAAUACCGCAUACGCUGCUCGGAGCUCCUGCUCUGAGUCGGAAAGCAGCAAUGCGCCGAUUGAGUGCCUCGCGGCCUAUCAGCUAGUUGGUGAGGUAAUGGCUCACAAGGCGACGACGGGUA